rnacentral:rRNA from 1 species
GACGAACGCUGGCGGCGUGCUUAACACAUGCAAGUCGAACGAUGAACCGGAGCUUGCUCUGGGGAUUAGUGGCGAACGGGUGAGUAACACGUGGGCAACCUGCCCCAGACACCGGGAUAACCAUUCGAAAGGAUGGCUAUUACCGGAUACGACCACUUCGGGCAUCCGAUGGUGGUGGAAAGGAUUCUGGUGUGGGAUGGGCCCGCGGCCUAUCAGCUUGUUGGUGGGGUAAUGGCCUACCAAGGCGACGACGGGUAGCCGGCCUGAGAGGGCGACCGGCCACACUGGGACUGAGACACGGCCCAGACUCAUACGGGAGGGAGCAGUGGGGAAUAUUGGGCAAUGGGCGAAAGCCUGACGCAGCGACGCCACGUGAGGGACGAAGGUCUUCGGAUUGUAAACCUCUUUCAGCAGGGAUGAAGCGAAAGUGACAGUACCUGCAGAAGAAGCACCGGCUAACUACGUGCCAGCCGCCGCGGUAAAAC